CUCUGAAUGCGGUUCGUGAAAUUUGACUUCGAAUGACCGCGGGCCCAAAGACAACAGAGCCUAUCAACCAUGGACUGAAUCCUCUGAAACCACGAGUCAAAAUAAACCUUCCUCUCUUUAAAUUUAUUACCUCAAGUAAUUUGUGACAGCAUUGGAAAGAUCCACUAACCAUACUCGCUGUCUACUUUAGCUUCUUUACCAAGAAACAUAUGCACGUGAUAUUUUUUUUUUCAAGCCUACCAAAAGCAUCAAACCAGCAUAUUCUGAUUAGGGAGAUUAACUCUUGCCAGACACAGGGUAAAUGCUACAAAUGUUCAGAAUACAGUGGAAGGGAUGGAGCAAAAUGAGCUGCUCAAGGAAGUAGAGUCACUGGAAGAAUCAUGGACCGUGGUGUAAAAGCAGACCUGCACUAGAACACCAGAACUUCAGCUCCCUACUUGCCUCACAUGAAACCUUAGGUGGAGUUCUCGCUGAGAUCACCAUGAAUAAUCCAGAUGAAGACCAGCCUGAAGCAAGCGGAGUCUUGCUGGCUCAAGAUCAGUUUGUUGUGAGCAUUUCCUUCCUAUGUUAUGUGCACAAGAAGGAAGCUGGAUCUUGAAGAUACACCCAGAAAU